CACCACUCAAGCCUCGCUUGGUAUUGGGCGUCGCGGUCCGCCGCGUGCCUCAAAUCGACCGGCUGGGUCGAUCGCACCCUCAGCGUUGUGCAAACUAAUCGCCGAAGGAGUCGUGGUCGGUCACGCCGUGAAACAAACCAAAUUUCAAU
rnacentral:misc_RNA from 1 species